rnacentral:lncRNA from 1 species
ACUUCAUCUGUUUUGGACUUCAAAUCGACCUAUCUAAGACUGUCGAAGAAAAAGAUUCUGGAAAGCCAUAACAGGAUCUGAUAACAGGACCUGUCAGUGGAAGAGGACAAGUCUCCACAUGUAGACUCUACCCACCUGUCUUCCCC